UUUCCGUAGGUGAACCUGCGGAAGGAUCAUUAACGAGUUAGGGUCUCCUAGGCCCGACCUCCCAACCCUUUGUUUACUGAACCAUUGUUGCCUCGGUGGGUCCGUCUUACGACCGCCGGGGGAUCCCCGCGAGGCGCCCCCUCGCCAGCGCCCGCCGAAAGCGCAACCUUUAAAACCCUUUGUGAAUCGUGAUAGAUGAAUAAAUCUAUGACUAAACAAUCAAAACAAACAUUUCAAAAACGGACAUCUUGGUUCUGGCAUAGAAGAAGAAAGUACAAG
rnacentral:misc_RNA from 1 species